CAAACAAACUCCUUUUAUCCAAAUCAAAGAGCUCAAAGAGCUCUUUCAAAAAGUUUCAAAUAAAAUUUCCACGUAAUGAGAAAACAUUUUCUAGAACUUAGUAUCGUUUUUUUACUUCCUGAUGGUUAUGUUUAAAAACGGAGCAUCUUAAAUCCAUAGCUUCUUAGAUCUGAGGAGAUAGGAUCUUGUACCCAUUGUGAUGUGGACAUUAAGGCUCACAGGGAGAAGUGACUCGCUCGGGGUCACCCUGUGAUCACAAGUGUGACCACAGAGCUAGAACGACUGGCAGCUUCCUCUGCCUCCUCCCAGCUGAGCCCAAACACCACACUGAUCCACACAGUCUCAGGAAGGGAAAGGCAGAGGGGUAUCUACUCCAUGAGGGUAGGGGUUUCGUGUGCCUGGCUCACCACCCAUCUCUGGGGCUUGCACCAGCCAGGCCUAGAGGUGAUUGAUAAAUGAUUCAACUCCCACAUCAGGCAGCCUGAAUUCAAAGCAUGACUCUGCCACUUACUCCCCCCUGUGCACAUCUCAGCGUUAUCAUCUUGGAUGAUACUACUUGCAUCAAAUAGUUGCUGGGAGGUUAAAUGAGUUAAUAUAGUUAAAAGCACUUAUCAUGGUGCUUGACACAAAGAAAGCACUCCAUAAAUAUCAACUGUGAAGGGGGCGCUGGGGUGGUUCAGUUGGUUGAGCAUCUGACUUCAGCUCAGGUUGAGAUCUCACAACUCGUGAGUUCGACUCCGCAUUGGGCUCUCUGCUGUCAGGGUGAAGCUCACUUUGGAUCCUUUGUCCCCCUCUUUAUGCCCCUCCCCAUGCAUGUUCUCUCAGAAAAAUAAACAUCUAAAAAAUAUAUCAGCCAUGAAGAUACUUAUCCUGAUAUCCCAAACAUCCAGCACAAGGAAAGUUCAGUAUAAGUACUUGCUGAAUGAGUGAGUGAUAACAAAAGAGAAUGGAUGGAUGGACAGCUAGGUGGACAGGUGGGUGGAGAGAUGGACUGGAAAAUAAAUGGAUAAUUAAAUAGAUGGAUGGACAAAUGGAUGGAUGCAGGUAAAGAUGGGUGGAUGGAUGGAUGGGUAGAUGGAAGUAAACAUGGGUAGGAAGAUGGAUGGAUGGGUGGAUGGAUGGGUGGAUAGAAGAUGUAAAGAUGAGUGGAUGGAUGGAUGGAUGAUGUAAAAAAGGAUGGAUGAAUGGAUGGGUGGGUGGAUGGAAGUAAACAUGGGUAGGAAGAUGGAUGGAUGGGUGGGUGGAUGGAUGGAUGGAUGGAUGGAUGGGUGGGUAGAAGUAAAGAUAGGUAGAUGGGUGAAUGGAUGGGCAGAUGGAUAGAAGCAAUGCUGUCAUAUGGAGGAAUGGAUGGAGAGAUGGAGAUGUGGACAGAUGCAUGGAUGAAUGGAUGAACAACCUGGAACCAGAGGGAACUCCUCCUGUAUAACUGGAAGCCAGACCCCCUGUGGAAGAUCUGGGUCCCA